rnacentral:rRNA from 1 species
AUUGAACGCUGGCGGCAGGCCUAACACAUGCAAGUCGAACGGGUGGCGGAGGGGUGAGAAAGGUUUGGGAAACUGCCUGAGGGGGGGGGUUAACUCCGGGAACCGGUGGUUAUUCCCGCAAACCAUCAAAUGUGCCCAGAUGGGAUUAGCUUGUUGGUGGGGUAACGGCUCACCAAGGCGACGAUCCCUAGCUGGUCUGAGAGGAUGACCAGCCACACUGGAACUGAGACACGGUCCAGACUCCUACGGGAGGCAGCAGUGGGGAAUAUUGCACAAUGGGCGCAAGCCUGAUGCAGCCAUGCCGCGUGUAUGAAGAAGGCCUUCGGGUUGCAAAGUACUUUCAGCGGGGAGGCGUUACCCGCAGAAGAAGCACCGGCUAACUCCGUGCCAGCAGCCGCGGUAAUAC